rnacentral:SRP_RNA from 1 species
GCAGGGGUGCACAAACAUAUAAUCCCUUCUUCUAGGGAAGCUGAGGCUGGUAGAUCUCUUGGGCUUAAGUCUUCUCAGGUACAGUUAGGCUAGGGCCAAUUGGGCGUCUGCACUAAAUUCUGGUACCAAUAUAGUGAGCCCCCAGGAGUGGGUUGCCAGCAGGCUAUCUAAGAAGAGGCAAACUGAGUCAGGUUAGAAACAAAGAUGGUCGAAGCUCCUAUGCCAGUUAGCAGCAAGAUCAGGUCUCAGUAGCUAUCAUACUUCCAGCCUAGGCAAUGCAGGGAGACACAGUCUUU